rnacentral:rRNA from 1 species
UACGUAGGUGGCAAGCGUUUGUCCGGAUUUACUGGGCGUAAAGAGCGCGCAGGCGGUCGUUUCAAGUCGCGUGUGAAAGCCCCCGGCUCAACUGGGGAGGGUCACGCGAUACUGAUCGACUCGAAGGCAGGAGAGGGAAGUGGAAUUCCCGGUGUAGUGGUGAAAUGCGUAGAUAUCGGGGAGGAACACCAGUGGCGAAGGCGACUUCCUGGCCUGUUCU